GACGAACGCUGGCGGCGUGCCUAAUACAUGCAAGUAGAACGCACAGUUUAUACCGUAGCUUGCUACACCAUAGACUGUGAGUUGCGAACGGGUGAGUAACGCGUAGGUAACCUGCCUGGUAGCGGGGGAUAACUAUUGGAAACGAUAGCUAAUACCGCAUAAUAUUAAUUAUUGCAUGAUAAUUAAUUGAAAGGUGCAAUUGCACCACUACCAGCUGGACCUGCGUUGUAUUAGCUAGUAGGUGAGGUAACGGCUCACCUAGGCGACGAUACAUAGCCGACCUGAGAGGGUGAUCGGCCACACUGGGACUGAGACACGGCCCAGACUCCUACGGGAGGCAGCAGUAGGGAAUCUUCGGCAAUGGACGAAAGUCUGACCGAGCAACGCCGCGUGAGUGAAGAAGGGUUUCGGAUCGUAAAGCUCUGUUGUAAGAGAAGAACGGGUGUGAGAGUGGAAAGUUCACACUGUGACGGUAUCUUACCAGAAAGGGACGGCUAACUACGUG
rnacentral:rRNA from 1 species